rnacentral:lncRNA from 1 species
UAUAUUUAAAAAUAAAAGAUAAAAAUCCAAAAAAUUAAUUAUCUAUUAACGUAGAUUUGGACGACAAUAGGUUUUUAGUUUGUGAUGUUUCAUGUGAUGAUCAUUUUCAUGUUCAUCGUCUUUGAAUUGACAUGAGGAUAUCUAUGGAAAAGUAACUAAUCUGAAAGUAAGCCAACAUAUCGUUUGUCCUUUGUGUGCUAAAGAAAAGAUUUUCUUUUCGCAUCAUGAGGAAGUAUUACAUCAAUUAAAAAAUGUUAGGAAGUUGAUUACUUGUCAUGGAAAAGUAUACCAAUGGAAAUUAUUUGUUAAAGAAGUAUAAUUCUAAGGGUUUUAAGAAUAAAUUGGUUGAACCCAAAAUCUGGAGGAAGUACCUAUAUCCAUACACAGAAUAUGCCCAUUAAAAAUACUAGUCCAAAUUUGCUUUAAUGGUAGACAAUUAUUCAAUACAAAUUAACUUUUUAAGUGACUGAAAUAUUAAAUAGUUUAGAAUAUGGUAUAACAAUGUAAAAAAAUAUUAUUUUCAGGAACGAUUAGGGCCCGAUAUAUUUGAAACUCAUGUUGGACAUAGUAUUGAGUUGGGUAGAAUAUUAUUCUACGUUAAGUGAGGGUAUCAGAUACCUAUUAUUGUACUGUAUUUUAAUAUAUACAUUAGAAUUGUUGGUUUUUUCAUAUUUGUUUUAUUUAUUAUUUUACUUACAAGUUAUAUAAAGUUAACACUAAAAUCUACUUUUUGACUUAUAUAAGUUAGUCUGUGGUUUAAUGCGUGAUUACAUCCACAUGAUUUCAAGUUUUUAAAAUAUAAAUAUUAUAACUGGCUUUAAAAACUCCAUUAAACUGUUAAAAGUGUAAUUUAUUUCAAAAUAAAUAUACAUAUAUAGGUAUAUAUUAAUAUCGAAAAACAUUUUUAUUUCCUUAACACCAAUUUAAUCAUCACAUACAUAUGUAUAAACAUUUAUUUACGUUAUUUCAAAUGAAGACCACAGGAAAAACCAGCUUUGUUCAUUUUAACUGGAGCCGAGAAAAUGCAAUUACGAGUGAACUACUCUGGUUUUUCUCCUGUAGGG